GGGCAGUCUUUUAUUUCAUGAUCCAACUUUCCACAAGCAAAAUAGACUCCAGUCACCCGAAAACACAAACUUGUUUCAUAAUUUAACUUGCAAUUCACACGUGAUUGAGUCUUUUGUGGUGACUUCCCAUUUCAAAUCCAAAUGUCUUGAUCCUCUUGUUAUUACUUUCUAAUUCAUUUCCAAUCAUAUUUUUAUUGGUAAACUUGUC
rnacentral:lncRNA from 1 species